rnacentral:rRNA from 1 species
AACGAACGCUGGCGGCAUGCCUAACACAUGCAAGUCGAACGAAGCCUUCGGGCUUAGUGGCGCACGGGUGCGUAACGCGUGGGAACCUGCCUUUAGGUUCGGAAUAACUCAGAGAAAUUUGAGCUAAUACCGGAUAAUGUCUUCGGACCAAAGAUUUAUCGCCUUUAGAUGGGCCCGCGUAGGAUUAGCUAGUUGGUGGGGUAAAGGCCUACCAAGGCGACGAUCCUUAGCUGGUCUGAGAGGAUGAUCAGCCACACUGGGACUGAGACACGGCCCAGACUCCUACGGGAGGCAGCAGUGGGGAAUAUUGGACAAUGGGCGAAAGCCUGAUCCAGCAAUGCCGCGUGAGUGAUGAAGGCCUUAGGGUUGUAAAGCUCUUUUACCAGGGAUGAUAAUGACAGUACCUGGAGAAUAAGCUUCGGCUAACUCCGUGCCAGCAGCCGCGGUAACAC